UUGUUUUCAUUUUCAAAAAUU
ensembl:piRNA 21ur-12810 ncRNA